CACUAUUAAUUAGAAUCAGUUCAAUUUGCAUAAGUACUGAAAAGAAGUCUAGUCUUAAAGUAUAUAGAAAGCUGUAAUGGUUUACAAAGUCUGGCCGUGAAUUGAAAUGCGAAAUACUAGGGUCAAUAUUUAAUUUAUUUAUUAAUACUACUUAUCAUUAUUAACAUUUUUUUUUUUGUUUUGAUUUAAGAUUAACAAGUGAAAUCAUUGUGGUGAGCGGAACCUUCAUUAAAAAUCCUAUACUACUUUGCUUAAUACAAUAUAAUAACAAUAUAACACCUUUUCAAAAUAACACAUUAUCUAUCUGGAAGGUGGUCGAAUAAGUGGUCCACUUUGAAUCACUUCCAAGGGCUGUCAUGCUUGCGCCAAAAUAUUUCGGUUUACUAAAUUUCGUCCAAAUAUCUCGAAAAAUGCGCUGGAAAGAUUGAUUAAAAAAAUACAGGACGGCCGGACGGACAGAGUAAUUUAGAUCGAGUCAGAAAUUGAUGCUUAAUCGAUCGGUAUAAUAAAAGAUCUCGACAUUACAAAUGCAUCCCGUUCGACCGACCCACCAAUCAUUCGAAGCAUUAAUCAAAUUUACAAGAAAUCGUAGAAGAUGGACACAUAAGCAACCAUAACAUUGCUAAGAUAUUAUGGUAUCGAUUGCAAAAAGAUUUUAUACCAUUUUCAUAUGCCUUAAUGCAGUAAGCAGUUCGCCGUUUUGAUCACUGAAAUUGAAAAAAAAAAUCGUGCAUUAUGCGGUCCUAGACCCAUGCCACGUUGUCGUGUUGAUGACCCAACAAAAAUUGAGGAAAUUUGGCGGAAAGAUUUUAAUGCAUUCACAGAAUAGACCUAACUAUCACUUGCUUCGGUCUUUCUUGAAGUCUGCUUAUGAUGUAAAAGGUUCACUUCAAUAGGUAGAAAUCCCUUAGUUGAGCUCUUCCUCCAAGAUUUUUGCAGUGAUCUCAUAAUAGUUUUACCAUAAAAAUGACGGAAGGUUGCCGAUAAUAACAUCUCUUACGUAACUCAAUACAAU